rnacentral:rRNA from 1 species
UACGAAGGGUGCAAGCGUUACUCGGAAUUACUGGGCGUAAAGCGUGCGUAGGUGGUGAGUUAAGUCUGUCGUGAAAGCCCCGGGCUCAACCUGGGAAUGGCGAUGGAUACUGGCUCGCUAGAGUGCGGUAGAGGAGAGUGGAAUUCCCGGUGUAGCAGUGAAAUGCGUAGAGAUCGGGAGGAACACCAAUUGCGAAGGCAGCUCGCUGGGACGUUACUGACGCUGAGACGCGAAAGCGUGGGGAGCAAACAGG